ensembl:misc_RNA Metazoa_SRP Metazoan signal recognition particle RNA
GCUGGGCAUGGUGGCACAUGCCUGUAGUCCCAGCUACUAGAGAGGCUGAGGCAGGAGGAUCGCUUGAGCCCAGGAUGUCGAGGCUGCAGUGAGCUGUGUUCACACACUACACUCUAGCCUGGGCAACAGAGUGACACUCUGUCUCAA